GUAGUUCCUCUGCUCCUAGGCCCCUAGCCCUGUAGUGUUGAGAUCUCUCCAGCUGUAGUCAGAGGCCAUUCUGUCACACAUGAAAGAAGCAGAAUUGAGGCAAACAUCUGGGAUUCCUCCCACCGCCACUGCCACCUCAACCCCUCACUUCCAAGCCACAGGUCACAGUGGCUGGACAUUGUGAGCUCACUCUUGCUAUAAGGGGAUACCCUUCCUGGACAAAAAUGUGGAGAGUAGAGAAGUAUUUGAAGUUAAUUAAGCAGGCUUCGCCCAUCCUGAAUCCAGUACCAACCAGAAACCCUUUGACAUUAAGUAACGCAGGCUCCAUAGCCUGAGCUUUCUUGACGUUAAAUGGUUACAGACAACAUAGACAAACUCCGGGGAGAAUUUAUUGGAUGAAUAGUCAAAGCCUGAGAUCUAGGAGCUGGAGCAGUGAGCAGGUUGAUGCUACAAACUGGAUCCCGGGGCUCCCGAAGCCGAGUCUAAGGACCUUUCCUCUGCAGCUGACGCCUUCACGCCUGGUCUUUGGUGACUUGUCAUCAGCCCUCAGGAAGACAGGGCUGUGCCCUACAGCACGGACACCGAUAUCAUCAUUUCUCUGUAUCAGGCACUUCUCAGGCAAAGGGAAUGUUGGGAGAGGAAUGCAGUUUUUAAAGUUUUUUUUUAAAUUGAUAUAUUUUAUUUGAACUGUUAUAUAGUAUAGAAACAUUUUGUAGAACAGCAAAUGUUAUUAAUUUAGAAAGCGGUUUACCAUAAAAGAGAGACAUGGAAAAUAUUCAUGUGCUGGGCUGGAGGAGUGCUUGGCUGGUAUGUGUGAGGUCCUGGGUUCAAUCCCGAGGAAACCUCCUCCCCACAAAGGAAAAAAAAAAGCAGAAAAUGUUACAUGAUGACAUUUCAGAAUUCACUGCAAGUUUUUGAAGGUUCUGUGGAGGAUGAUUGACAUAAACUCCACAUAUUUGAAGGACAUGGUUUGGUAUAUUUUGGCACAUAUUGUACACAUCUGGAAAACUGCCACCUUGAUGAAGAUAAUGAGUUUACCUCACCCCUGGAUGUCUCCUUGUGCCUUUGCCUUUGUAUUCCUUCCCUGGC
ensembl:lncRNA